rnacentral:rRNA from 1 species
ACUGCGGAGGAUCAUUACCGAGUGAGGGCCCUCUGGGUCCAACCUCCCACCCGUGUUUAUUUUACCUUGUUGCUUCGGCGGGCCCGCCUUAACUGGCCGCCGGGGGGCUUACGCCCCCGGGCCCGCGCCCGCCGAAGACACCCUCGAACUCUGUCUGAAGAUUGAAGUCUGAGUGAAAAUAUAAAUUAUUUAAAACUUUCAACAACGGAUCUCUUGGUUCCGGCAUCGAUGAAGAACGCAGCGAAAUGCGAUACGUAAUGUGAAUUGCAAAUUCAGUGAAUCAUCGAGUCUUUGAACGCACAUUGCGCCCCCUGGUAUUCCGGGGGGCAUGCCUGUCCGAGCGUCAUUGCUGCCCUCAAGCCCGGCUUGUGUGUUGGGCCCCGUCCCCCGAUCUCCGGGGGACGGGCCCGAAAGGCAGCGGCGGCACCGCGUCCGGUCCUCGAGCGUAUGGGGCUUUGUCACCCGCUCUGUAGGCCCGGCCGGCGCUUGCCGAUCAACCCAAAUUUUUAUCCAGGUUGACCUCGGAUCAGGUAGGGAUACCCGCUGAACUUAAGCAUAUCAAUA